rnacentral:rRNA from 1 species
GGAUAACCGUGGUAAUUCUAGAGCUAAUACAUGCUAAAAAUCCCGACCCCUGGAAGGGAUGUAUUUAUUAGAUAAAAAACCAAUGCCUUCGGGCUUCUUGGUGAUUCAUGAUAACUAUACGAAUCGCAUGGCCUUGCGCUGGCGAUGGUUCAUUCAAAUUUCUGCCCUAUCAACUUUCGAUGGUAGGAUAGUGGCCUACCAUGGUUUCAACGGGUAACGGGGAAUUAGGGUUCGAUUCCGGAGAGGGAGCCUGAGAAACGGCUACCACAUCCAAGGAAGGCAGCAGGCGCGCAAAUUACCCAAUCCCGACACGGGGAGGUAGUGACAAUAAAUACUGAUACAGGGCCCUUUCGGAUCUUGUAAUUGGAAUGAGUACAAUUUAAAUCCUUUAACGAGGAACAAUUGGAGGGCAAGUCUGGUGCCAGCAGCCGCGGUAAUUCCAGCUCCAAUAGCGUAUAUUAAAGUUGUUGCAGUUAAAAAGCUCGUAGUUGAACUUUGGGUCUGGGUGACCGGUCUGCGUUCUGCGUGUGUUACUGGAAACCUGGAUCUUUCCUUCUGGAACACCACAUGCCCUUUACUGGGUGUGUUUUGGAGAGCCAGGACUUUUACUUUGAAAAAAUUAGAGUGUUCAAAGCAGGCAUUUGCUCGAAUACAUUAGCAUGGAAUAAUAAAAUAGGACGUGCGGUUCUAUUUUGUUGGUUUCUAGGACCGCCGUAAUGAUUAAUAGGGAUAGUCGGGGGCAUCCGUAUUCGAUUGUCAGAAGUGAAAUUCUUGGAUUUUUCGAAGACGAACUACUGCGAAAGCAUUUGCCAAGGAUGUUUUCAUUAAUCAGGAACGAAAGUUGAGGGAUCGAAGACGAUCAGAUACCGUCGUAGUCUCAACCAUAAACUAUGCCGACUAGGGAUCGGGCGAUGUUUUCUUUUUGACUCGCUCGGCACCUUACGAGAAAUCAAAGUGUUUGGGUUCUGGGGGGAGUAUGGUCGCAAGGCUGAAACUUAAAGGAAUUGACGGAAGGGCACCACCAGGAGUGGAGCCUGCGGCUUAAUUUGACUCAACACGGGGAAACUCACCAGGUCCAGACACAUUAAGGAUUGACAGAUUGAGAGCUCUUUCUUGAUCAUGUGGGUGGUGGUGCAUGGCCGUUCUUAGUUGGUGGAGUGAUUUGUCUGCUUAAUUGCGAUAACGAACGAGACCUUAACCUGCUAAAUAGCCAGGCUCGCUUUUGCG